rfam:Chlorocebus sabaeus isolate 1994-021 chromosome 17, whole genome shotgun sequence.
GUUGAAAUAGCUCAGUUGGGAGAGCUUUAGACUGAAUAUCUAUGGGCUUCUGGUUCAAUCCCGGGUUUCAGCA